rnacentral:rRNA from 1 species
GACGAACGCUGGCGGCGUGCUUAACACAUGCAAGUCGAACGGUGAAGCUCCAGCUUGCUGGAGUGGCUAAGUGGCGAACGGAUGAGUAACAAGUGAGCAACCUGCCCCUGACUCUGGAAUAAGCGCUGGAAACGGCGUCUAAUACUGGAUACGAACAGGGCCCGCAUGGGCACUUUCUGGAAAGUUUUUCGGUUGGGGAUGGGGUGGCGGCCUAUGAGCUUGCUGGUGAGUUAGUGGAGCACCAAGGCGAGGAAGGGUAGCCGGCCUGAGAGGGCGACCGGCCACAGUGGGACUGAGACACGGCCCAGACUCCUACGGGAGGCAGCAGUGGGGAAUAUUGCACAAUGGGCGAAAGCCGGAUGCAGCGACGCCGCGUGAGGGAUGACGGCCUUCGGGUUGUAAACCUCUUUCAGCAGGGAAGAAGCGAAAGUGACGGUACCUGCAGAAGAAGCACCGGCUAACUACGUG